rnacentral:rRNA from 1 species
CUACGGGACGCUGCAGUGGGGAAUAUUGCACAAUGGAGGAAACUCUGAUGCAGCAACGCCGCGUGGAGGAUGACACUUUUCGGAGCGUAAACUCCUUUUAUAUAGGAAGAAGAUGACGGUACUAUAUGAAUAAGCGCCGGCUAACUCCGUGCCAGCAGCCGCGGUAAUACGGAGGGCGCAAGCGUUACUCGGAACCACUGGGCGUAAAGAGCGUGUAGGCGGAUUAAAAAGUCAGAAGUGAAAUCCUAUAGCUUAACUAUAGAACUGCUUCUGAAACUCUUAAUCUAGAAUAUGGGAGAGGUAGAUGGAAUUUCUGGUGUUGGGGUAAAAUCCGUAGAGAUCAGAAGGAAUACCGAUUGCGAAGGCGAUCUACUAGAACAUUAUUGACGCUGAGACGCGAAAGCGUGGGGAGCAAACAGGAUUAGAUACCCUCGUAGUC